rnacentral:rRNA from 1 species
UACGUAGGAGGCAAGCGUUAUCCGGAAUGACUGGGCGUAAAGGGUGCGUAGGUGGUUUGACAAGUUAGUAGCGCAACUCCGGAGCUCAACUUCGGAACUACUACUAAAACUGUUGGACUUGAGUGCAGGAGGGGCAAUCGGAAUUCCUAGUGUAGCGGUGGAAUGCGUAGAUAUACGGAGGAACACCAGUGGCGAAGGCGGAUUGCUGGACAGUAACUGACGCUGAGGCGCGAAAGCAUGGGUAGCGAACAGG